AUUCCUUAGAACCGAGGUGUGGUAUAUACUUCGAGAAAUGUUGAUAUGGUUCUUCUGCCAGUGGAUGCCGCUAAAGAAGCAUCGUUAAAGUCUCUCUGCUCCCUGCCAUGAUGUCUAAGCCAGAGUCUCCUAAAGAGCCCAAAAAGCUGAGGAAGCUCUUCAUUGGAAGGUUGAGCUUUCAAACAACUGAUGAGAGCCUGAGGAGCCAUUUUGAGCAAUGGGGAACGCCCACGGACUGUGUGGUAAUGAGAGAUCCAAACACCAAGAGCUCCAGGGGCUUUGGGUUUGUCACAUAUGCCACUGUGCAGGAGGUGGAUGCAGCCAUGAAUGCAAGGCCACACAAAGUGGAUGGAAGAGUUGUGGAACCAAAGAGAGCUGACUCAAGAGAAGAUUCUCAAUGAACAAGUGCCCACUUAACAGUGAAAAGGAUUUUUGUUGAUGGCAUUAAAGAACACACUGAAGAACAUCACCUAAGAGGUUAGUUUGAACAGUAUCGAAAAAUUGAAGUGAUUGAAAUCACAAGUGACCGAGGCAGUGCCAAGAAAAGGGGCUUUGCCUUUAUAAUCUUUGACGACCAUGACUCCAUGGGUAAGACUGUUAUUCAGAAAUGCCAUACCGUGAAUGGCCAUAACUGUGAAGUUAGGAAAGCCUUAUCAAAGCAAGAGAUGGUGAGUGCUUCAUCCAGCCAAAGAGGUCAAACUGGUUAUAAAAAUUUUUCUGGUGGCUGUGGAGGCGGUUUUGAUGAGAAUGACAACUUUGAUCAUGGAGGAAACUUCAGUGGCCAUGGUGGCUUUGGUGGCCGCCAAGGUGGUGGAUAUCAUGGCAGUGGGGAUGGCUAUAAUGGAUUUGGUAAUGAUGGUGGUUAUAGAGGAGGCAGCCCUGGUUACUCUGGAGGAAGUAGAGGCUAUGGAAGUGGUGGACAGGGUUAUGUAAACCACGGCAGUGUCUAUGGCAGGAGCAGCAGACAUGACAACUGUAACAAUGAUGGUGGAGGCUGCUUUGGUGGUGGUAGUGGAAGCAGUUUUGGAGGCAGUGGAAGCUACAAUGAUUUCAGCAAUUACAACAAUCAGUCUUCAAAUUUUGGACCCACAAAGGGAGGAAACUUUGGGGGCAGAAGCUCUGACCCCUAUAGUGGUGGAGCCCAAUACUUUGCCAAACCAUGAAACCAAGGUGGCUAUGGCAGUUCCAGUAGCAGCAGUAGCUAUGGCAGUGGCAGAAAUUUUUAAUUAGGAAACAAAGCUUAGCAGGAGAGGACAACCAGAGAAGUGACAGGGAAGCUACAGGUUACAACAGAUUUGUCAACUCAGCCAAGCACAGUAGUUACAGGUCCUAGUUGCUACAAAGAAGAUAUGUUUUAGACAAAUACUCACGUAUAUGUGCAAAAAACUCCAGGACUGCCUUGUGACUAAUUGUGUAAUGGGCUAUUUUAGUUUCUGUUCUGUGGAAAGUGUAAAGCAUUCCAAAAAAGGGUUUUAAUGUAGAUUUCUUUUUUGCAUCCAUGCUGUUGAUUACUAAAUGUAAUAGCCUGAUCGUGAUGCUGAAUAAAUGUCUUUUUUUUUUUUAAUGUGCUAUGUAAAGUUAGUUUACUCUGAAGCCAUCUUGGUAAAUUUCCCCAACAGUGUGAAGUUAGAAUUCCUUCAGGGUGAUGCAAGGUUGUAUUUGGAAUUUAUAUACAAC